GAUGAACGCUGGCGGCGUGCCUAAUACGUGCAAGUCGAGCGAACAGAUGAGAAGCUUGCUUCUCUGCUGUUAGCGGCGGCCGGGUGAGUAACACGUGGGUAACCUACCUGUAAGACCGGGAUAACUCCGGGAAACCGGGGCUAAUACCGGAUAAUCUUUUGAACCGCAUGGUUCACUACUGAAAGACGGUUUCGGCUGUCACUUAAAGAUGGACCCUCGCCGGAUUAGCUAGUGUGUAAGGUAACGGCUUAACAAGGCGACGAUACGUAGCCGACCUGAGAGGGUGAUCGGCCACACUGGAACUGAGACACGGUCCAGACUCCUACGGGAGGCAGCAGUAGGGAAUCUUCCGCAAUGGGCGAAAGCCUGACGGAGCAACGCCGCGUGAGUGAUGAAGGUCUUCGGAUCGUAAAACUCUGUUGUUAGGGAAGAACAAAUUUGUUAGUUACUGAACAAGUCUUGACGGUACCUAACCAGAAAGCCACGGCUAACUACGUGCCAGCAGCCGCAGUAA
rnacentral:rRNA from 1 species